GUCAUACCCAAUAAGUUGCCAAACGAGGGCC
rnacentral:piRNA from 1 species